ensembl:lncRNA novel transcript
AUCCGUGGCAAUGCCUCCCAGGCUUGGGAGCUGGGAAAAGGCCCCAGGAGCUAGGGCAUCCUGAUUGUUCUUUCAAAGAAAUCCCUCUUGUUCUUAGUCAACAUGCUGGAUACCAGCUAAAAAAUGCAAAAUGAUCUUCAGGCAGGGAUGGCACAGGACCCUUGCUGAGCUGUGAAGCCUGGCUGUGAGGAUUCCUGCAUGGAAACAUCAACAUGUUGCCAGAUUGGUAUACGACUCAACACCACACUGUUUGAUUGGAGUUGAGCUGAUCUUGUCUGAACCUAGCUGGGCCUGGUCCGGGGCGGCAAAUUAGAUUCAGACAUGCUGCUCCCAAACAGUGCCUUUGAAUCAAGACCCAGUCAUCGUAUUCGAAGAAAAAGGAAAUAUCCCUGACCAUGUUGGGACUUAACACUGCUUCACAGAGUCCAUGGAGUUCCUGGUGACUAAUGCCAUCCACAAGAUCUGAAGGUGUUGUGUAACCUAGACCUGGCCCUUCUCUCAGUGCAUCCCCCUCUCCAGAGUGACCAACUCAGAGAGGUCAUGUGCUUAAGGGUGAGAACCACUACAGGACAAAAAUGAGCUCCUUUUUUCCAGUCUCAGCCCAGGAGGGAUCUUCACAGAGAAAGCAAGCCCAGCCCAUCCCCACAGCUGGCUCCCUGGUGCCCAUUCUGAAAGGCUGGACCCAUCCUGACCUGUCCCUGCCCCAAGGACUGCCUGGUGAGGGAUGGCUUACCAACACUGUGACUCAGUCCUUCCAACAUGCCCAACAGGUCAAUUCUGGGAUAUUCCUUACAGGAAUUAAUGAGAGCACAUUGCCGGUAAUGUUGGCAUUAGUAGAUUACAUUUAAAUUUAAAAAUUCCUUUUAUGGGGUUUAAGAAUAGAGACAAGACACCCAUGCAAUAAAGAAAGGAGGAGACUUUGCCUGGUCUAAUGGAGAAGCUGGAGCUGCAUUGUUGGGUACAGUGGCCAGUGGCUACACCUGGCUUUUGAGCCCUUGCACAGUGGCAAGGACACAUUGAGAUGUGCCCUAGGUGCAAGAUACACACAGGAUUUCAAAGACUGAGUAUGAAAAAAGAAGAAAAAAUGUCUCAUUAAUAUUUUUAUAUUGGUUGCAUGUGGAAGUGAUAACAUUUUGGAUAUAAAGUUGACCUUUGAACAGUAUGGGUUUGAACUGCACAGGUCUGCUUAUAAGUGAAAUUUCUUCUGCCUCUGCCACCCCUGAGACAGCAAGACCAACCCUCCACUUCCUCCUCCUCCUCCUCCUCCUCAACCUGCUCAACGUGAAGAUGAUGAAGAUCAAGACCUUCAUGAUGAUCUACUUCCACUUAAUGAAUAGUAAAUAUAUUUUCUCUUCCUUGUGAUUUUCUUAAUAACGUUUUCUUUCCUCUAGCUUAUUUUGUUGUAAGGAUACAGUGGUAUAUAAUAUUUAUAACAUACAAAAUAUGUGUUAACCAACUCUGCUAUCAGUAAGGCUUCUGAUCAACAGUAUGCUAACAUUUUUGGACAGUAGUUAAGUUUGGGCAGAGUCAAAAGUUAUAGGCAGAUUCUUGAUUGUGUGGGGUAUUGGCAUCCCUAAUCUCUGCACUGUUCAAGGGUAAACUGCAUUAGCUGAAAUAAAGCAUAUUCUUAAAAUGAA